UACGUAGGGUGCAAGCGUUAAUCGGAAUUACUGGGCGUAAAGCGUGCGCAGGCGGCUUUGCAAGACAGAUGUGAAAUCCCCGGGCUUAACCUGGGAACUGCAUUUUGUGACUGCAUGGCUGGAGUGCGGCAGAGGGAUGGAAUUCCGCGUGUAGCAGUGAAAUGCGUAGAUAUGCGGAGGAACACCGAUGGCGAAGGCAAUCCCUCGGG
rnacentral:rRNA from 1 species